rnacentral:lncRNA from 1 species
GUUGAUGUCUCUUUAUAUUUUGAUUAAAGUUUCUCAGAUCCCCGGCUGCUAAUUAAUGGACUCUUGAACAGAAAUACAAGAUUAUUUUUCUUUGAUCCGUGGGUUCUGUCAAGUAGGAACUGAUCUCUAAAUGAACAAUGAAGUGCACUGAUGGGAGAGCAGUAUUUAGUAUUUAGAAGAAAACCUUUUAACUGAUUAUUUUAAGCUUUAAUUUUGUAUCUCAUUAUUUUUACUAUGAUGUUCUGAAUCAUCUGUUUUUAAAACUUGCAUUCAGGCUGGGUGUGGGGGCUCAUGCCUGUAAUCCCCGCACAUUGGGAGGUCGAGAAGGGUGGGUCACCUGAGGUCAGGAGUUCGAGACCAGCAUUUUAUCUCCCCUAUUAUCUUUUAUGAUUUUCAUAUGCACUACAUCUCUGUGUGCAAUAGACAUGACAACUCAAUGCUGUAAUUGCUUUAUAUAACCUUGUAACAUUGAAAUAAGCUAAGAGAAAAUAUAUUUAGAAAUAAUUUUAAAUUUACCAAGACUAGUUGUUUUGGUUUCUUCCUAUGGGUUUGAAUUAGCUGCCAGUAUUAUUUCCUUUCUGUUUGAAGAACUCUCUUAAGAAUUUAUUCGAAGACAUAUAUGGUAGUAAUGAAUUUUCUUGAUCAUCAUGUUUCUAGGAAUGUCUUCAUUUUACCAUGUUUUUUUUUGAAGAGUAGUUUUGCUGGAUAUAGGAUUCUUUGUUAUGGUUCUUUUGUUUCUUGUUCGUUUGCUUGUUUCUUUCAGUGUUUGAAACAUAUGCUAUUUCAAUACGUUGUAACUUCCUUUGCUUUAUAUCAAAAAUCAGUGUUAAUUGUAUAGAUCUCCCUCUUUACAUGAUAAGUCAUUUUGUCUUACUGAUUUCAAGGUGGUCUCCUUGUCUGUGCUUUCAACAGUUUGACUAUGAUAUGUUCAGGUAUGGCUCACUUUCUGCUUGUCCUAUUUGUAAUUCAUUAAACUUGGAAAUGUGGAUAAUUUUUUCCCAUCAAAUUUAAGAAGCUUUAGGUAACUAUAUGUUUAAAUAUUUUUUCUGCUCCUAUCUUUUUCUUCUCUCGGCACACACAUUACAUAUACAUCAGUAUGCUUGAUGUUGCUCUUAUGUACAGUUUUAUCAUUUCUUCUCUUGUUGGACAGCUUCUAUUAAUCUACAUUUAUAUUUUGCUUAAUUUUUCAUUUGUAACCUGACCUAUGCUGUUGAGUUACUCUACUGAACUUUAUUUCAGUUAUUCAAUUUUUUAAUUUCAGGAUAACUAUUUGGUUAUUGUAAUGCUGGUCUCAAACUCCUGACCUUAGGUGAUCCACCUGCCUCGGCCUCCUGAAAACAGUAUAGAGGUUCCUCAAAAAACUAAAAAGAGUAUUAGCAUAUGAUCUGGCACUCUUACUUCUAGCUGCAUAGCCAAAAGAACUGAAAUCAGUAUGUUGAAACCUCUCCAAGUUCGUUGCAGCACUAUUAACACAGCGAAAAUUCGGAAACAACCUAAAUAACCAUCAAUGGAUAAAUGGAUAAGGAAAAUCUGGCCUGUUAAUAGUAUUUUUUAUGCUGGAGUGUGGUGAUAUUUUAUGGCAGUUUUAAUUUGCAUUUCUCUGAUGUUGUAACGUUGAACUGUUUUUUAAUACACUUGUUGGCCAUUUGUAUCUCUUCAUUCGAUAAAUGUCUAUUUAGGAUUUUUGCUCCUUUUAAAAAUCAGGUUAUUUUAUUUUAUUUUUGUCUGUCGAGUUGUUUGAGUUUCCUACAUAUUUAAAAUAUUAA